GUGUGCGGUCGCAACUGCUGCUGCAUAGAUACGCUUUAGCUUACACACACACAUACUGUGUGAUUGUAGUUAGUUGUCUCUUUUAAUAUAUUAAUUGUUAUUAAAAAUGAGCGACAACGACAAAGGUCAGGAGUCUCGCUCUGCAUCUCGGAGCGUGAGUCCACGGGGCUCAGGGAAGUCAGGAAGCCGUUCUCCGGCUCGCUCACCAGCCCAUUCAAAAGAAGGCUCCCGCCAUUCCCGCUCCAAAUCUCGGUCCCGGUCCAGGUCAAAAUCUGGGUCCCAUUCCCACCGUAGUUCACGCAGACACUACAGCCAAUCUCGUUCCCGCUCGAGGUCCUAUCACCGCCGAUCUCGUAGCAGGUCCUACAGUGGAGACCGUCGACGCAGGAGCCAUAGCCGCUCACCCAUGUCCAAUCGCCGUAGGCACAUCGGCAACCGCGCGAAUCCAGACCCAAACUGCUGCCUGGGAGUGUUUGGUCUGAGCUUGUACACCACAGAGAGGGAUCUGAGGGAGGUCUUCUCUAAAUAUGGCCCCUUGGCGGAUGUCAGCAUUGUGUAUGACCAGCAGUCGAGACGCUCCAGGGGCUUUGCCUUCGUUUACUUCGAGAACACAGAUGACGCUAAAGAGGCAAAGGAACGAGCCAAUGGAAUGGAACUGGAUGGUCGUAGGAUCAGGGUAGACUUCUCCAUCACAAAAAGACCUCACACCCCAACCCCUGGAAUCUACAUGGGCCGACCCACAUAUGGUGGAGGUGGUCCCAGUGGUCCUCGACGUUAUUCACGUGACUACGACCGUGGGUAUGAUCGCGGAUAUGACAGAGGUGGCUAUGAUCGCUAUGACGACAGGGACUACUACAGAUCAUACAGGUGAUAAUCUCAAUCCAUCAAAAGACGAUCUCCAUCACCGUACUACAGAGAGGCUUACAGGUCUCGGUCCAGAUCACGGUCUUAUUCUCCCCGUCGUUAUUGAAAGUUGCUGUCAAGCAAAAAACCCUCCUCUUCGCAAGCACCUACAGGAAAUGUUUGAGUGACAGAUUUCAGAAUAGAUGUCGUUUCUUAAGGUUUACACCUCUGUGUAAAUGUACACCGACUCAAACUGUCCCCAUAUGUCUUUUUGAAUGUACAGGCAACCCCUGACCUAAAUGUUGUACUGAUGUUUUGCUUUUUUUGGAUACAAGUUGAGUGAAAAUUCAUCUUUGAACAAAUUAAAAAUGGGAAUCCUUUUUUCA